AGUGACACUGCGCCGAAAAUGUACCGGGGCUAAACAUAUUACCGAAGCUGUGGAUUGUCCUUUGGACAAUGGUAGGAGAGCGUUCUAAGGGCGUUGAAGCAUGAUCGUAAGGACAUGUGGAGCGCUUAGAAGUGAGAAUGCCGGUGUGAGUAGCGAAAGACGGGUGAGAAUCCCGUCCACCGAUUGACUAAGGUUUCCAGAGGAAGGCUCGUCCGCUCUGGGUUAGUCGGGUCCUAAGCUGAGGCCGACAGGCGUAGGCGAUGGAUAACAGGUUGAUAUUCCUGUACCACCUAUAAUCGUUUUAAUCGAUGGGGGGACGCAGUAGGAUAGGCGAAGCGUGCGAUUGGAUUGCACGUCUAAGCAGUAAGGCUGAGUAUUAGGCAAAUCCGGUACUCGUUAAGGCUGAGCUGUGAUGGGGAGAAGACAUUGUGUCUUCGAGUCGUUGAUUUCACACUGCCGAGAAAAGCCUCUAGAUAGAAAAUAGG
rnacentral:rRNA from 1 species